UUAUGGUUUCUGGUCCUUCUGGGUUACUGUGCAGCUCAGUGUUUCUAUUCUCGUUCUCCAACACCUCCUCCACCAGGAUCUACAGAUCCACCUCCUACCCACUGCAAUUCAUCUGGUGUGAUAUUGGCACCAGGAGAAGCACACACAGAUAUGACAAGAUGUUUGAGAUGUCACUGUGGAGCAGAUCUUGUACUCUACUGUUGCUCAAUGCUCAUGCACUACACAGUACCAGAGGGUUGUGUUGUUAAAGAAAAGAACUGUACACAGGAGAUUGUUCACAAAGCGGACGGAUCUCCAUGCCAAUAUCUUGCAUCUUUUUCCAGAAGGUGACAUAACAACAAAUGGAACAAAAUUGAAAUUAUUAUUAAAGAAAAUAACAUUUUAAAUUUUUAAAUACAUGUUUGUAUUUAUCUGAAAGUGUCCAAUAAAAAUUACAACCAUAAUAA